CCUACGGGAGGCAGCAGUGGGGAAUAUUGCACAAUGGGGGAAAUCCUGAUGCAGCGAUGCCGCGUGGAGGAAGAAGGUUUUCGGAUUGUAAACUCCUUUUAUCAGGGACGAUAAUGACGGUACCUGAAGAAAAAGCUCCGGCUAACUACGUGCCAGCAGCCGCGGUAAUACGUAGGGAGCGAGCGUUGUCCGGAAUUACUGGGUGUAAGGGGAGCGUAGGCGGGACGGCAAGUCAGAUGUGAAAACUGAGGGCUCAACCUUCAGACUGCAUUUGAAACUGCUGUCCUUGAGUGAAGUAGAGGUAA
rnacentral:rRNA from 1 species